GGGGCUGACGUGGUUUUGACAGCAUGUAGAAUUGAUAUGUAAGCAUGUCGAGCGUUGUGAUUCCAGCUCGUAAAUAUCGGAUCUCACACUUUUUAAUUGGCGAAAAUAACUACGCUCUUGCUGCUUAAUCGAAUCAUAGUAGAUUAAAGCUUCAUCAUCACUCUAGGAGUGGAGACGAGACAUCCAGCUUAUGGUUCCACCUUGUUCCGGUAAGUAAUUGGAUGCUAUCAAUUCGAGGUUAGUUGAUAAUUUACUUCGGGUUAUCGGCGAAAUUUAGAAGAUAAGCUAAGACUUCGGGUGUGAUUUCCCUAACCUUGGUCGAAAAUUAAUAAAUCACUAAGCGUGUAGAAAGCCUAUUGGUCGCAUGUUUGGACCAGGGUUCGAUUCCCUGCAGCUCCACAU
rnacentral:tmRNA from 1 species